CGUCGGGCUUGAGUUGUUUUAUUCGUGGGGAUGGAAUUGAAUUGUGGACAUUUGGAGGCUUGGUGGAGGAUUGGUGCUGAGGUUUUGGUUAUUUUUAAAACUUGUGAGGCUAUGUGUGUAGCUUGAGUUGCUGCCUUGGACCAAACGUGGUGAUCGACCAAGGUAUGGUUUAGGUUUUGCGCAUUUAAUAUAUAAUGUUCUGUAAAAACUUAGGCUAUAUGACCAUAGGAUAAGUUGGAAUGCAGGUGUGUAUUUAAUGUUUAGUAUCUUAAUGAUGGAUAUAUUUGAUUUGGUGCUUACUGGAUAAUUGGUGAUUUAAUGAAUUAUUGUGGUUUGUUGCUUGUUGGUUGGUUGGUUGAUGAUGAUUGAUGGAUUUUUGUUAAUGAAUUGAGGAUAUAAGCAAAUAAAUUUUAAAGUUGUGACUUAUAGUUUGAAUGAUGGAUUUUGAGGAAAUGUAUGAGCAUUAUUGUUGGUAUGAGACAUAAUUGUUAUGGUGGUUGAUAUGUUAAUGAAGAAGUGUUGGAAAGUGCAGGUUUGGUGAUUAUUGACAUAGGAUUUGUCAUGGUUGAAAAUGAGGUUUUAAGAGUUUGCAAAACGUUGGUUUUUGGCCGAACUUCGACGAGGCAUAACUUGGCUUCUGAACCCUCAAUUUGUUUUCAACUUAUUUUAAAUGAAAAUUGGGUUCGUAAAGUUUACGCCGUUCGAAGAACGGAAGAAAAAUGAUUUAAAACGAUUAAGUUAUGCACGUUAGAAGUUUUGGUGUGAAUUAUGUAUUAUGCAGGUGAAUACUACAGGUUUAUGCAGCUUUC